CACGUAGGGUGCGAGCGUUGUCCGGAAUUAUUGGGCGUAAAGAGCUCGUAGGCGGUCCGUCACGUCGGAUGUGAAAUUCCAGGGCUCAACCCUGGACCUGCAUUCGAUACGGGCGGACUAGAGUUCGGUAGGGGAGACUGGAAUUCCUGGUGUAGCGGUGAAAUGCGUAGAGAUGUGGAGGAACACCGAUGGCGAAGGCAGCCUCCUGGGCCAGCACUGACGCUCAUGCACGAAAGCGUGGGGAGCAAACAGG
rnacentral:rRNA from 1 species